AAAUAAAUAAAUAAACUAUUAGAACCACUGUGAUGCAGUGGUUGGUACUGGGCUGGGACUUGGGAAAUCCAGGUUCUAGUACCGUGUGGGCCUUGAAGCAUACUAGGUGACUUAGUGCUGAUUACGGACUCUCACCCAAGCUUCUUCACAGGGUUGUUGUGAGAUGAAAUGGAGAGGAGAAGGAGCUGCCUCAGAUUCCUUGCUGGAGAAGCAAAAGGGAAAAUGUAAAUGUCAGAAUCAUAAGAUAAUGCAGCCCUUCCAUAGUUAGCAUACCCUUCAGUCUUUCAAAGUGUUGUCCUUCAGUACUUAGCAGUGGAACAGCAGACACCUGGUUGCCGUUUUUCCUGCUAUGCAGUUGGAAGACAGUGGAAAACACGGAAGAUACAAGAGUGGAGGAGAAGACCAUGAUAACUUCCCGUCAUGGUGAUUAUUUGCUGCCUUCAGGAUCAGCGGCUCUGUGCCUCUCUGUUGCUCUACCACCUGAGUAUCAGUCACUGGGGAUCAACAGUGGGAGAGGCUGCUCACUUUGUGUCCUGCCCAGGAGCAUCUGGUCGGCCACAGUAGCAAACGGGGUGCCAGACUAGCAGCCUUUGGUGUGAUCCAGUGGACCUCUUGCCACGUUCCUACACUAGCCGCCUUAGUUGACUUCCCUAACCUUUCCCAGAGUUGUGUUUCUAUGACUCAAGAAUCCACAACAAUAGUACACCUAAGGUCUGACUGGCAUGAGAUUCUGAUUGAACUUGCAAACACAGAGCUGGCUGCUGGGGGACGGAAAGCUGUAGCAGGCUUCUCAAGACCAAGGGAAGCCAAAAGCUGGUGGAGAGUUCGGGCAGAGAUUCCUAUUCAAGAAGGACUUGUAUUUUUAGAAGCAGGGAGUCCUUUCUGUUUUUCUGUCCUCCUUGGCAGUAUUAGUUAAUUAAACUAUGCAAAUUAAAGCAUCUUAAUUUAUAUAAUAUCAA